UGCCAUUUAAUGACUUGUGCCUCUUCUGCAAC
rnacentral:piRNA from 1 species